rnacentral:tRNA from 1 species
CGGCGCCUGGCUGGAGGUGGAGCUGCCGCCGGUGGCACCGGUGGCGGCCGCGGUGGUCGAGACACCGGUGCCGG